rnacentral:rRNA from 1 species
GACGAACGCUGGCGGCGUGCUUAACACAUGCAAGUCGAGCGGAGCGGCGAACGGGUGAGUAACGCGUGAGUAACUGCCCCCCUCUCUGGGAUAACAGUUGGAAACGGCUGCUAAUACCGGAUAGUGGGGGAUGACUCGCGUCCGAUCAGCUUGUUGGGGGGGUAGUGGCCUACCAAGGCGACGACGGGAAGCCGGCCUGAGAGGGGGACCGGCCACAGUGGGCUGCGGUACGGACCAAACUGCUAUGGGACGCAGCAGGGGGGAAUAUUGCACAAUGGGGGAAACUGUGAUGCAGCGGCGCCGGGUGCGGGAUGACCGCCUUCGGGUUGUAAACCGGUUUCAGCCAUGACGCGGUAGUGGCAGAAGAAGCACCGGCUAACUACGUGCCAGCAGCCGCGGUAAUAC